rnacentral:pre_miRNA from 1 species
UGUGUAUUCCCUCCGUUCCAAAAUACUUGACUUCCAUUUGUCCAAAAAUGGAUGUACCUAUAUACUAAAACAUAUCUAGAUACAUAUAUAUUUUGACAAAUAGAAGGCAUGUAUUGUGCAACGGAGGGAGUAGAAU